GGGAUGAAUAUAUAGCUCAGUUGGUAGAGCACUGCACCGGUAAUAUUUUAUCGCAGAGUUCAUGGGUUCGAACCCUUUCAAGCCUG